rnacentral:lncRNA from 1 species
UCAGGAACUGGAAAUUGUUUUAUAGAUAUUCUUUCAUGAUUCUCUCCUCUCACACAUCUCCUUUUAACAGCUAGCAAACCCACUCACGCACGCCACGCUAAACCCAGUCUGGGCCGAUCACUCGAGCAUUAGUCUUCCUGAGCCUGCUUCCGCAUCGGAGCCCAUCAUCACUUGCUUGUAUUGUAGCCGGUCCAGCUACUGUCGCCGAUGGCUGUUGCUCAUCUGUUGUAGCGCUAACACGCAUCUUAUUUGUUUCGG